rnacentral:tRNA from 23 species
GCGGAUGUAGCCAAGUGGAUCAAGGCAGUGGAUUGUGAAUC